AACGAACGCUGGCGGCAGGCUUAACACAUGCAAGUCGAGCGCCCCGCAAGGGGAGCGGCAGACGGGUGAGUAACGCGUGGGAAUCUACCCAUCUCUACGGAAUAACGCAUGGAAACGUGUGCUAAUACCGUAUACGUCCUUCGGGAGAAAGAUUUAUCGGAGAUGGAUGAGCCCGCGUUGGAUUAGCUAGUUGGUGGGGUAAAGGCCUACCAAGGCGACGAUCCAUAGCUGGUCUGAGAGGAUGAUCAGCCACACUGGGACUGAGACACGGCCCAGACUCCUACGGGAGGCAGCAGUGGGGAAUAUUGGACAAUGGGCGCAAGCCUGAUCCAGCCAUGCCGCGUGAGUGAUGAAGGCCCUAGGGUUGUAAAGCUCUUUCGCCGGUGAGGAUAAUGACGGUAACCGGAGAAGAAGCCCCGGCUAACUUCGUGCCAGCCGCCGCUGUAAUAC
rnacentral:rRNA from 1 species